CUCACCUGUGCUAAAGCACGGCGGUCAGAGAGCAUCUUGGGAAGCUAGUAUUCUUUGAGGGAUUUCAGCUGCAGCAAAUUCUGACUCCCAGAAGAAACUCACAUUUGUAAGACUGAAACUACCAGCAGCAGAGCUUCAGCCUCUGCCUCAUAACAUGUUUUUCCUGAAAGACGUCUGUGGAAAAGCCUUUCUCAGCAUGGAGCCACUACCAUCAGCAUCUGCUUCCCAAAAAGUACAAAAUUGUUUCAAUGCUCUGCACCUAAUGGUAUGUUCAAAUGGAAAAACUCAUGACACUGAUGCUCAACUUCGGUCAUGAGUGGCUGCUGUGAUGAGAGGCAGGGGGCAGCUUGCUGCAAGCUAAGGUGCCUGUUUAUCGUCUUGCCCCAGUGUAUUAAGUUGUGACUAGACCUUCAGUGUGGAGACCUUGAGAAAAUUGGUCAACAGAGGCUUACAGUUUGAGUCCACUGCAUCUGCCCUCUAACUGGAAGUCGCUGAAGAGUCUGGCUCAUUCUCCUUUACUCCCUUCC